rnacentral:rRNA from 1 species
UUGGAGGGCAAGUCUGGUGCCAGCAGCCGCGGUAAUUCCAGCUCCAAUAGCGUAUAUUAAAGUUGUUGCAGUUAAAAAGCUCGUAGUUGAAUUUCGGGGUUAGUAGGUUGGUCAUGCCUCUGGUAUGUACUGGUCUCACUGAUUCCUCCUUCCUGAUGAGCCGUAAUGCCAUUAAUUUGGUGUUGCGGGGAAUUUGGACUGUUACUUUGAAAAAAUUAGAGUGUUUAAAGCAAGCUAACGCUUGAAUACAUUAGCAUGGAAUAAUGAAAUAGGACGUUCGAUCCUAUUUUGUUGGUUUCUAGGAUCGACGUAAUGAUUAAUAGGGAUAGUUGGGGGCGUUAGUAUUCAAUUGUCAGAGGUGAAAUUCUUGGAUUUAUUGAAGACUAACUACUGCGAAAGCAUUUGCCAAGGAUGUUUUCAUUAAUCAAGAACGAAAGUUAGGGGAUCGAAGACGAUCAGAUACCGUCGUAGUCUUAACCAUAAACUAUGCCGACUAGGGAUCGGAUGAUGUUAAUUUUUUAAUGACUCAUUCGGCGCCUUACGGGAAAC